GAUGAACGCUGACAGAAUGCUUAACACAUGCAAGUCUUUGGCGAAGCUGUGCUUGCACAGCCUAGCCAAGGCGGACGGGUGAGUAACGCGUAAGGAACUUGCCCUGCAGUCAGGGAUAACAGACGGAAACGACUGAUAAGACCUGGUAAAGUCAGGCGGACUCAUGUCCAGCCUGAUGAAAAGAGAUGCUGCAGGAGAGCCUUGCGUCCUAUUAGCUUGUUGGUGGGGUAACGGCCCACCAAGGCGAUGAUAGGUAGCCGGCCUGAGAGGGUGGACGGCCACAAGGGGACUGAGAUACGGCCCUUACUCCUACGGGAGGCAGCAGUGGGGAAUAUUGGACAAUGGGGGCAACCCUGAUCCAGAAAUUCUGUGUGAACGAUGAAGGUUUUCGGAUUGUAAAGUGCUUUCAGAAGGGAAGAAAAAAAUGACGGUACCUGCAGAAGAAGCGACGGCUAAAUACGUG
rnacentral:rRNA from 1 species